rnacentral:rRNA from 1 species
CGCUGGCGGCAUGUCUAACACAUGCAAGUUGAGCGAGAACCAAGGGGCUUGCUCUUUGGGGAAAGCAGCGCACGGGUGAGUAACGCGUGGAUAACGUGCCCUGGGGUUGGGGAUAACCCACCGAAAGGUGGGCUAAUACCGAAUGUGUUCCAAGAGAGUGCGCUUUUUUGGAAGAAAGUGGGGCAACCCACGCCCGAGGAUCGGUCCGCGUUCCAUCAGCUAGUUGGUAGGGUAAAGGCCUACCAAGGCUACGACGGAUAGCUGGUCUGAGAGGAUGAUCAGCCACACUGGGACUGAGACACGGCCCAGACUCCUACGGGAGGCAGCAGUGGGGAAUAUUGGUCAAUGGGCGAAAGCCUGAACCAGCAAUGCCGCGUGAGUGAUGAAGGCCUUCGGGUUGUAAAGCUCUGUCAGUGGGAACGAAGAAGCCGGUUAAUACCCGGUGGUGACGGUACCCACAAAGGAAGCACCGGCUAACUCUGUGCCAGCAGCCGCGGUAAUACAGAGGGUGCAAGCGUUGUUCGGAAUUACUGGGCGUAAAGCGCGUGUAGGCGGUCUAGUAAGUCGGUCGUGAAAUC